ACGCUGCCGGUAGGCCUAACACAUGCAAGUCGAACGGCAGCACAGGAGAGCUUGCUCCUGGGUGGCGAGUGCGGACGGGUGAGGAAUGCAUCGGAUCUACUCUUUCGUGGGGGAUAACGUAGGGAAACUUACGCUAAUACCGCAUACGACCUACGGGUGAAACCGGGGACUUCGGGCCUGGCGCGAAAGAUGAGCCGAUGCCCGAUUAGCUAGUUGGCGGGGUAAGAGCCCCCAAGGCGACGAUCGGUAGCUGGUCUGAGAGGAUGAUCAGCCACACUGGAACUGAGACACGGUCCAGACUCCUACGGGAGGCAGCAGUGGGGAAUAUUGGACAAUGGGCGCAAGCCUGAUCCAGCCAUACCGCGUGGGUGAAGAAGGCCUUCGGGUUGUAAAGCCCUUUUGUUGGGAAAGAAAAGCAGUCGGUUAAUACCCGUUGUGCUGACGUACCC
rnacentral:rRNA from 1 species